rnacentral:rRNA from 1 species
GGGGGACGUUAUCGGGAUUACUGGGCGUAAGCGCACGCAGGCGGUCUGUCAAGUCGGAUGUGAAAUCCCCGGGCUCAACCUGGGAACUGCAUCCGAAACUGGCAGGCUUGAGUCUUGUAGAGGGGGGUAGAAUUCCAGGUGUAGCGGUGAAAUGCGUAGAGAUCUGGAGGAAUACCGGUGGCGAAGGCGGCCCCCUGGACAAAGACUGACGCUCAGGUGCGAAAGCGUGGGGAGCAAACAGGAUUAGAUACCCUGGUAGUCCACGCCGUAAACGAUGUCGACUUGGAGGUUGUGCCCUUGAGGCGUGGCUUCCGGAGCUAACGCGUUAAGUCGACCGCCUGGGGAGUACGGCCGCAAGGUUAAAACUCAAAUGAAUUGACGGGGGCCCGCACAAGCGGUGGAGCAUGUGGUUUAAUUCGAUGCAACGCGAAGAACCUUACCUGGUCUUGACAUCCACAGAACUUUCCAGAGAUGGAUUGGUGCCUUCGGGAACUGUGAGACAGGUGCUGCAUGGCUGUCGUCAGCUCGUGUUGUGAAAUGUUGGGUUAAGUCCCGCAACGAGCGCAACCCUUAUCCUUUGUUGCCAGCGGUCCGGCCGGGAACUCAUAGGAGACUGGCAGUGAUCAACUGGAAGAAGGUGGGGAUGACGUCCAGUCAUCAUGGCCCUUACCACCAUGGCUACACACGUGCUACCAUGGCGCAUACCAAGAGAAUCGAACUCCCCAGAGCAAACGUACCUCAUCAAGUGCGACCUAAUCCGGAAUGGAGUCUGCAACUCCACUCCAUGAAGUCCGAAUCGCUAGUAAUCGUGGAUCAGAAUGCCACGGUGAAUACGUUCCCCGGCCUUGUACACACCGGCCGUUACACCAUGGGGAGUGGGUUGCAAAAGAAGUAAGUAGCUCAACCUUCCGGAGGGCGCUUACCACUUUGUGAUUCAUGCUG